AUCCUAGAUAUUUGAGAUUGAUUAUCUUGAAAAGCGUUAAUCGCCUAGGGUA
rnacentral:tRNA from 1 species